AAAAUGCCAAACCCAGGCUAAAGGCUACAGUGACACCAAGUCCAGUGAAAGGCAAAGGGAAAGUGGGUCGCCCCACAGCUUCAAAGGCAUCAAAGGAAAAGACUCCUUCUCCC